UACAGAGGUCUCAAGCGUUGUUCGGAUUCAUUGGGCGUAAAGAGUGCGUAGGUGGCGCGGUAAGUCGGGUGUGAAAUCUCGGAGCUUAACUCCGAAAAUGCAUUCGAUACUGCCGUGCUUGAGGACUGGAGAGGAGACUGGAAUUCAUGGUGUAGCAGUGAAAUGCGUAGAGAUCAUGAGGAAGACCAGUGGCGAAGGCGGGUCUCUGGACAGUUCCUGACACUGAGGCACGAAGGCCAGGGGAGCAAAACGGG
rnacentral:rRNA from 1 species